UCCGGCCUAUAUAUCAAUUAUUGCUCAAGACUCAAGACUGCUCCCUAAUUCUAGUUCCUAUAUAGUAGUCCAUACAACACCAUCGCACACUAUCGCAAAAUACACGCGAAGGCCUGCAGACAUCGAACAAUCACACACAGUGCCGGCCAUGGGGUUCGAGGUGCGGAGGACGAGCCGGUCGUACGUGCGCCCGGCCGCGGCGACGCCGGCGGGCUCGCUGGAGCUGUCCGCCAUUGACCGCGUGGUGGGGCUGCGCCACAUGGUGCCGUCGCUGAACGUGUACCCGCCGCGCGGCUGCGGAGCCGCCGCCGGCGAGGGGCAGCUGCAGCAGCAGUCCCCGGCGACCGUGGUCCGGGAGGCGCUGGGAAAGGCGCUGGUGGACUACUACCCGCUCGCCGGGCGGCUCGUCGGCGGGCCCGGCGGGCCGGCGAGCUCCCGCGUGGAGUGCACCGGCGAGGGCGCGUGGUUCGUGGAGGCCGUCGCCGGGUGCAGCCUGGAGGACGUCGGGCGCCUCGAGAAGUACCCGUUCGCCAUCCCGGAGGGCGACCUGCUCCCGGACGAAGCGCCUGGUGUGCAGCCACUCGACCUCCCUCUCAUGAUGCAGGUGACCGAGUUCACGUGCGGUGGCUUCGUGGUGGGGCUGACCUCCAGCCACGCCAUCACUGACGGCCUGGGCGCUGGGCAGUUCAUCACCGCCAUUGGCGACAACACCCGCGGUCUCCCCAAGCCCCGUGUCACUCCCAUCUGGUCCCGCGGCGAGCUCAUCCCAAACCCGCCCAAGAAGUUCCUCUCCGGCCCUCUUCCCACGCCGCGGACGUUCCAACUCCGGCACCUCACCGUGGACCUGAGCUCCGACAGCAUCGAGCGUGCCAAGUCCCAGUUCCUGCAGUCCACGGGGCGGCGCUGCUCCACCUUCGACGUCGCCGUCGCCAGGCUGUGGCAGGCGCGGACGCGGUCGCUGCGGCUCGCGGACCCGUCGACGCGCGUCAGCCUCGGCUUCUUUGCCGACGCGCGCCGCCUCCUGCGCGGUGGCGGCGGCGGCGCCGGGUUCUACGGCAACUGCUUCUACACGGUGACGGUGAGCGCGGAGAGCGGCGCGGUGGCGGGCGCGGACACGGCCGGCGUGGUCGCCAUGAUCCGGGACGCCAAGGCGUGGCUCCCCGCCGAGUUCGCGCGGUGGGCGGCGGGGGAGCGCGUGGAGCCGGACCCCUACGACCUGAGCUUCUCGUACGAGUUGCUGUUCGUGUCGGACUGGACCCGCCUGGGGUUGGACGCCGACUACGGCUGGGGGACGCCGUCGCAGGUGAUAUCCUUUGCGCGAAUGUUCUCGUGUCCACCACAUUGGAUAUCCCCCCUAUAAUAUGCCAUCCGAUUCUUCUUCAAGAUUCGCGCUCCGCUCCUACGUGGCACGCGGCAGUGCACUUAAACAUGCUGACAUCAGAUUGGCUGCUAGCUUAACCUCCUUGCGGUCAACAAUGUCUAGAAGACUCAUUCACAUUGUACCUGAGUUUUCUGGAUACGACUCUUCUUCUCCCUCCUCUUGCGGCCAACUUCCGACCAGAUCUCCACCGGCUGCCUCCCUCUCCGCCUCCGGCGACCUUGUCAGCGACGAGACGGGGCGGGGCUCACCCUCCACUUAUACAUCUUCGUUACAGAUCAUAUCUUGCUGUUAUCGCCAUUGCCAUCGCCGCUCUCAUCUCGUCGGAUUUGUGACCUCGCACAUCGGUCUUGUUGGCCACGGUGCGGGAAGUGACGCUCUCGUCGGCUUCGAUCUUCAGGAGACAUCAGUGAGCCUAAAUAAUCUUUUCCCCUUUCUAGAACUGGAGAUGCUUUGUUCUGUUGUGCACAAAUCGAUCCACCACCACUCAUCUCCGGCCAUCUGUCCAUCCUCACAACAUCAUCUCCGGCACGAUCCCCUCCAGAACCAUGUAUCCUUCCUGUGGAACAUAUGAACAAAUCCCUGCUGCUGCCUUCUUUUCAAUCCAACAUUCGAUGGGCCGUCAUUAUUCAGUUAACUGCAGAUCUGGUGCUGCUUGAUUAUCAGCUCUCCAGUGAGGAUGAUAACUCGGAGGUCAGAUCCCAUUAUUUUGUUUAUUUGUCUCAAUUGGAGGUCACUAAAGUUUAACAAUGUCAUUAAAAAUUUAGUCUGACUAAUCAACUGGAUAUCAUGUGGUUUUAUGGAUAUGUUGAUUGUUUAUUUAGCUUUCUAAGUUACUGCAUUAGUACACAUUCAGGUGGCUUAACUAGUACUCAUUUAGGUUGCAUAAGUACUCAUUCUAGUUGGUUAUUGGAUUUGUCAAUGUUGUCAGGGGAAAGGGGAAAAAAGAGUUAGCAGGUGUAUCUGCUAGGUGUUAGCUUACCCGGUUGUUUGAUCUGAUUUCUAGGCUUGGUGAUUGCAAGAAGUUAGUAAAAGAAUUCAGGUUUGAGGGGAUUGAUUCACUUCCCUACUCUUUCGCAAAUAAACAGAAUGUUUGCUGUCCGGAUGAUGUACUGUGGAGGGUUGAUGCAUUUGUUGCAUACCCUUGUUCUGUUUUAUUCAAAAAAGUUGAAGUUUAGCAAGGAAGAAAGUGGCAUGCAUUCUGGGCUUCCAUGUGGAAUUAGAAAAAGUAGGUAACCGAGUGUCAAUAUGGGUUGGCAUUUGGCAAUGUCAGCUAACGAGGAGAGUUCAUUCAAGCUUGCAUUGUGGUGUAUGUAUGUUAUGUCAACUUUUAAUAUCACUAGGUGCUAGGCUUGACUAUGCAUCAGUUGUUACUGGACUGCACUGCACAAUCCUUCGAUAGGGUCAUAUCAAUAGUAUGAUUAUGUACUGAGAAAGGCUACUUUGAUGCAGUGAUUAAGAUUAAAACUGACCUCAAUGGCAAUACAAAAGUACCCAGUAUUACUUGCACAUUAUUCUUGCAGCUAUACAGUUUCCUUUAUUUGUAUCUCGAAAUAGAUAUUUUGUUGCAUAUAUAAUUUUUUGUAGCAUUGUGGUAAUUACAUAUAUGUCAUAAUGCAGCCCAACUUGUUUAAAUUUCAUAAUUUAAGUAUAGGUGUUGUACCAUGACAGUAUACACCUCAGUGUCCUUAGUAUGAACCAUGGUAUCUUGAAGAAAGUUGUAUCUUUCCGCAUAUUAAAUGUUUUGCAUCUGACAGAAUGAGGCCUAUGAUCCGUGCCAAUAUUGUUCUUGUACCUUGGAUCAGCCUGAUUCUGUAAUUGGAAAAAGCAAGGUGGUUGUUAUUUCACAUCUUAUAUUGUGCAGUUUUAGCAGGAAUAAGUUGUGCACUUUAGUAUAUAUCAUGGUUCUCAGAUUUGAUUAUUUCCUUUAAGUUUAUUUGUUCCACUUUUCCACUCCUAGUUACUAUCAGCAUUAGAAUUAUGCUACCAUUGCUCUUUAAAUUGGGAGGUAGAUGCCACUGAGGACACAAUCUCAUUGAAUGUUGCUUUUGGGGGAAGCAACUAGAUCCCUUGCUCGAUCAUAUAGAGUUCCUAUGGAGGUAUGUCUUCUCUCUCCUCUGUUCAAUUGGAGAUCUAGUUAGUUUAGACUGGAUAUAAUUUUGUAUAACAUAAUUGGAGCAUUAUUUCAGCAACUUCAUCAGUACAGCUUAUGCUUAUCCAGUACAUCCUGCUUGGGAAUUUGUUUUUAUGGAAUAGUGUUUUCUAAAAUAUUUUAUAUUGUAGUCAUGUAGGAUGGUCCUAUGAUACACUUUUUCUCUAUUUUAUUAUAUAGAUAAGCAAGUUUUCUUGCUCUAUAUGGUAGAUAAACUAAACUGUGCUUUUACUUGACACUUCCAUGUACAGAAGGUGGAGGUCAAAGGACUACAAUUCGUCUUGGCUAAGGGGUUCCUUGAAGCUCGAGGCUCCUCAAUUUGAUUCUUCACCCUAGGAUGCUUAGAUAAUAUUAUUUUUUAUUGUAUUUGGAUGUCCACAGUUGUAUGUACUAUUAAUAUGAUGUGUUUGGAAAUAAGAAUUACAUAUAAAGAUUGGCAGUUCUCAUUA